UUCUUGAUGGUCCAGCAGUUAGGACUCUGUGCUUUCAUUGCUGGGGCCCAGGUUCACUCCCUGGUCAGGGAA
rnacentral:tRNA from 1 species